AACGAACGCUGGCGGCAUGCCUAACACAUGCAAGUCGAACGAACCCUUCGGGUUAGUGGCGCACGGGUGCGUAACGCGUGGGAAUCUGCCCAAAGGUUCGGAAUAACUCAGGGAAACUUGAGCUAAUACCGGAUAAUGUCGCAAGACCAAAGAUUUAUUGCCUUUGGAUGAGCCCGCGUAGGAUUAGCUAGUUGGUGGGGUAAAGGCCUACCAAGGCGACGAUCCUUAGCUGGUCUGAGAGGAUGAUCAGCCACACUGGGACUGAGACACGGCCCAGACUCCUACGGGAGGCAGCAGUGGGGAAUAUUGGACAAUGGGCGAAAGCCUGAUCCAGCAAUGCCGCGUGAGUGAUGAAGGCCUUA
rnacentral:rRNA from 1 species